GGCUCAGGACGAACGCUGGCGGCGUGCCUAAUACAUGCAAGUCGAGCGGACAGAUGGGAGCUUGCUCCCUGAUGUCAGCGGCGGACGGGUGAGUAACACGUGGGUAACCUGCCUGAAGACUGGGAUAACUCCGGGAAACCGGGGCUAAUACCGGAUGCUUGAUUGAACCGCAUGGUUCAAUUAUAAAAGGUGGCUUUUAGCUACCACUUACAGAUGGACCCGCGGCGCAUUAGCUAGUUGGUGAGGUAACGGCUCACCAAGGCAACGAUGCGUAGCCGACCUGAGAGGGUGAUCGGCCACACUGGGACUGAGACACGGCCCAGACUCCUACGGGAGGCAGCAGUAGGGAAUCUUCCGCAAUGGACGAAAGUCUGACGGAGCAACGCCGCGUGAGUGAUGAAGGUUUUCGGAUCGUAAAACUCUGUUGUUAGGGAAGAACAAGUACCGUUCGAAUAGGGCGGUACCUUGACGGUACCUAACCAGAAAGCCACGGCUAACUACGUGCCAGCAGCCGCGGUAAUACGUAGGUGGCAAGCGUUGUCCGGAAUUAUUGGGCGUAAAGCGCGCGCAGGCGGUUUCUUAAGUCUGAUGUGAAAGCCCCCGGCUCAACCGGGGAGGGUCAUUGGAAACUGGGGAACUUGAGUGCAGAAGAGGAGAGUGGAAUUCCACGUGUAGCGGUGAAAUGCGUAGAGAUGUGGAGGAACACCAGUGGCGAAGGCGACUCUCUGGUCU
rnacentral:rRNA from 1 species